rnacentral:tRNA from 1 species
AUUUCUUUAGUAUACUAGUACAAAUGCCUUCCAAGCAUUUAGCUCCACCCGGAAAGAAAUA